UACGUAGGGUGCAAGCGUUGUCCGGAUUUAUUGGGCGUAAAGAGCUCGUAGGCGGUUUGUCGCGUCUGCUGUGAAAACUCGGGGCUUAACCCCGGGCCUGCAGUGGGUACGGGCAGACUAGAGUGCGGUAGGGGAGACUGGAAUUCCUGGUGUAGCGGUGAAAUGCGCAGAUAUCAGGAGGAACACCGGUGGCGAAGGCGGGUCUCUGGGCCGUAACUGACGCUGAGGAGCGAAAGCGUGGGGAGCGAACAGG
rnacentral:rRNA from 1 species